rnacentral:rRNA from 1 species
GGGUGCGAUCAUACUAGCACUACAACACCGAAUUCC